rnacentral:tRNA from 1 species
GUGGGUAUAGCUCAGUGGUAAAGCACGUGCUUAGCAUGCACAAGGUCCUGGGUUCAAUCCCCAAUACAUUUA